ACUUUCAACAACGGAUCUCUUGGUUCUCGCAUCGAUGAAGAACGCAGCGAACUGCGAUACGUAAUGCGAAUUGCAGCUUCCGUGAAGCAUCGAAUCUUUGAACGCACAUUGCGCCCCCCGGUAUUCCAGGGGGCAUGCCUGUCUGAGCGUCGUUUCCU
rnacentral:rRNA from 1 species